UACGUAGGGGGCAAGCGUUGUCCGGAUUUAUUGGGCGUAAAGAGCGUGUAGGCGGCCAGGUAGGUCUGCUGUGAAAACUCGAGGCUUAACCUCGAGCUGUACGGCGGAAACCAUCUGGCUAGAGUCCGGAAGAGGAGAAUGGAAUUCCCGGUGUAGCGGUGAAAUGCGCAGAUAUCGGGAAGAACACCCGUGGCGAAGGCGGUUCUCUGGGACGGUACUGACGCUGAGACGCGAAAGCGUGGGGAGCGAACAGG
rnacentral:rRNA from 1 species